AGUGAACGCUGGCGGUAGGCCUAACACAUGCAAGUCGAACGGCAGCACAGUAAGAGCUUGCUCUUACGGGUGGCGAGUGGCGGACGGGUGAGGAAUACAUCGGAAUCUACUUUUUCGUGGGGGAUAACGUAGGGAAACUUACGCUAAUACCGCAUACGACCUACGGGUGAAAGCAGGGGAUCUUCGGACUUUGCGCGAUUAAAUGAGCCGAUGUCGGAUUAGCUAGUUGGCGGGGUAAAGGCCCACCAAGGCGACGAUCCGUAGCUGGUCUGAGAGGAUGAUCAGCCACACUGGAACUGAGACACGGUCCAGACUCCUACGGGAGGCAGCAGUGGGGAAUAUUGGACAAUGGGCGCAAGCCUGAUCCAGCCAUACCGCGUGGGUGAAGAAGGCCUUCGGGUUGUAAAGCCCUUUUGUUGGGAAAGAAAAGCAGCAGGUUAAUACCCCGCUGUUCUGACGGUACCCAAAGAAUAAGCACCGGCUAACUUCGUG
rnacentral:rRNA from 1 species